rnacentral:lncRNA from 1 species
UUAUUAUUAUCUCUAUAGAGUAUGUUUCUUGUCCUUUUGAAAGUAUAGAGAUUUUCGUAUUUAUAAGUUUUUUUCGUUGAUAGAACAUUUGAUUCGAUGAUCGACUCCGUUAGACAUAUCUACGCUGUUAAAACUAUCUAGAAACCAAACUUUAUAAUUUUUCGACAUUAUUUAUCAAUUGAUCAAGAGGUCUCCAAAAUAACUAUUUUAACAGUCGAUGUGGCACGUUUUUAAGUUCAACAAUGUAAAACAAUUCAAAUUACAUGAAACUUUAAUAAAAAAUUCUAUUUAAUAUUAAUAGCAAGAUCAAUACUUCUGAUUUAAAAUUUGAGUCUUUUAUCAUUAUUUUUUAUGAAAUUUUUAUUUUCAACCGUUCAUUUUGAGGCUACUCGUUCACUAGGCAAAUAAAGUCAAAAAAUUAUAAAAUUUGGUUUCUAAAUAGUUCCGAUGGCUAGAUCAUGUCUAACGGAAUCGAUCAUCGAAUCAAAUGUCCCAUUAUCGAAAACAACCUAUAAGCACGGAUGCCCUCGUAUUUUCGUAAGUAUAGGAGCCUAGUUCUAUAUAUGUAGAGAGAGCGAGAAAGAGAGAGGCAUAUUACUAUAUUUUCAAAAGCACGAAGGUUUCUAUACUUUUAAAUUAUUUUCGAUAAUGAGACAUCAGAUGUGGCGAUCGACUUUAUUAGACAUGAUCUACUGUAUCGGAAUUAUUUAGAAAUCAAAUUUUAUAAUUUUUUAAGUUCGUCUAGCUAGUGAAUGAGUAGCCUCAAAAUGAAUGGCUGUAAAUAAAAAUAUAAUAGAAGUCAUAUCGGAAGUAUUGACAUUGCUCUCGAUAGUAAGUAGAAUUUUAUAUUAAAAUUUUAUCUAAUUUGGAUUGCUUCUACUCCUAGUCUGUGCCUAAUGAAUUCUUAAUGAUCUAGUGAGCACCCUCGUCUGUGUCGAUACCGUAUCCAACAACCAUUUGGGUACUAGUAGUGGUACCUUAAAACACCACCAAAUAGGGAUUGUAUUGUAAAAACCGACAUGGCGACAAUAGUAAAGAUUUUUUUCCUGUUAAAAAAUGCUCAUAGACAGUAACUUAAUACACAUUUCAUAUUACACGGGAUUCAUUUAAAAUAUCAACCAAUAGCCAUGCUGUAAGGACUGAGAUUUUUGCUGUACAGAUAAACUCUGUGUUGAUAAUGUUUUUGUGUGUAAUUUAAUUACAUAAAUACUCGUCAAGUUUCAGGAGAAAACGAGUUAGGAUGGAGGAGUUACGCAAACUUUAGUAAUGACUUAAAGUGAAUAGUAACUCCGGUUUUCUGGAGAAGCCAACGAGUGGAGAUGGCUUCUGGUGCGUAUUGGACUCCAAUUAUAGCGAUCCAAUAGCUCGUUUCGAACAGUUCAGCUAUUUCGGAACCAAUGGUGCUGACGGAUUUUAGAUUUGAUGCACAAUUUUCGAGAAAAAUGGGAGUUUAUUGGAUUUACACAUAUAUUUAGGUGAGAUUUUGGAAAAUUGGAGAGAGGUUAGGUUUUGUCAAAAAUCUGUGAUCAAAUUAGGUGAAACGAAAUGGUGGAUUCUAUGCCCCAGUCGUGCUGAACGCGCUGGCAUGAUCCGAUCGAAAAUCCGACGGACGGAUCUCUGGGAAUCUUGAAAAGUUCGCUGAGGGGUCGAAUUUGGCAAAACGAAAAAUCUGAGAAAAU